rnacentral:rRNA from 1 species
AGUGGCGAACGGGUGAGUAACACGUGAGUAACCUGCCCCUUACUUUCCUGGAUAACUGCUCGAAAGGGUAGCUAAUACGGGAUAUUCUGACUAGCCUGCAUGGGUUGGUUUGGAAAGGUUGUUUUUCUGGUAAGGGAUGGGCUCGCGGCCUAUCAGCUUGUUGGUGGGGUGAUGGCCUACCAAGGCUUUGACGGGUAGCCGGCCUGAGAGGGUGGACGGUCACACUGGGACUGAGAUACGGCCCAGACUCCUACGGGAGGCAGCAGUGGGGAAUAUUGCACAAUGGGCGCAAGCCUGAUGCAGCGACGCCGCGUGAGGGAUGAAGGCCUUCGGGUUGUAAACCUCUUUCGUCAGGGAACAAGGCACUGCUUUUUUGGUGGUGUUGAGGGUACCUGGAUAAGAAGCGCCGGCUAACUACGUGCCAGCAGCCGCGGUAAUACGUAGGGCGCAAGCGUUGUCCGGAAUUAUUGGGCGUAAAGAGCUCGUAGGCGGCUGGUCGCGUCUGUCGUGAAAACUUCCGGCUCAACCGGGGGCCUGCGGUGGGUACGGGCCGGCUAGAGUGCGGUAGGGGUAACUGGAACUCCUGGUGUAGCGGUGGAAUGCGCAGAUAUCAGGAAGAACACCGAUGGCGAAGGCAGGUUACUGG